UACAGAGGUCUCAAGCGUUGUUCGGAUUCAUUGGGCGUAAAGGGUGCGUAGGCGGCGCGGCAAGUCGGAUGUGAAAUCUCGGAGCUUAACUUCGAAACUGCAUUCGAUACUGCCGUGCUUGAGGACUGGAGAGGAGACUGGAAUUUACGGUGUAGCGGUGAAAUGCGUAGAUAUCGUAAGGAAGACCAGUGGCGAAGGCGGGUCUCUGGGCCGAAACUGACGCUGAGGAGCGAAAGCGUGGGGAGCAAACAGG
rnacentral:rRNA from 1 species